CGGAGUUGGGAUCGAGACGGACCGGCAUUCCGCAGGAAGUCGGAGCGCCGGGUUUGGAGGAGGAGUUUGGGGCUGCACCGUCAGCCGCGUGGCCGCCUAGCUCUUCCAGACAGUCGAGCACGUUCAGGGUCCCAGGUGAAGAGCGAAAGCGAAUGGAGGGUUUCUGGAAACUUGAACUAAGCUCAAGGUGACGAGGGAGAGGACAUGGGGCUCUCAAUGGGGCCGGGGUCUCUCUGCCAAGAGCUUAAAAGUCGUGAGGUGAGAUGAGCAGAAAAAGGCAUUGCCUUCCCAAAGACCAAAGCUUGAAAUUUCACCCUUGCAUCAGCCACAGAGGGCACAGGGCUUUCUCACAUCUCGCAUCCAGCAUGAAGCAGACGAACCGAGGCAAAUGUUCCUCCAUUUGGUGAAGGCCAAAUCGAGGGCAUAAUCUGAGUGAGUUAUCUGGAGAAGAUAAUUAUUACACCUCAACUGUAUAGAACACAGAAGUUGUUUAAGCUGCCAUUUGUUGAACACACACAAUGGCUCUCUUCCACCUGUGUUCCUGUCAAGCUUGGGAACAACAUCUGGUUCAUUUUGUAUCUACAAUGUCUUGCCUAAUGCUUAACACAUGCUCAGAAAAUGUUGAAACAGAGUCUCUUGCCCUUCUCCUGAAUCUGGAAUGGCCCUGUGACUUGCUUUGAUCAAUAAAAUGUGGCAGAAAUGAUGGUGCGCAGCUUCUGAGGCCUGACAUUAUGAUACCUUGCAGCUUCCACCUUUAAUCUUUUGCAACACUCUUCUGAGACUUCCCAGGAUGAAAGAAAACAUGGAAGGCAAGACUAAUCCAUCAACCAGCACCAACUGACAGACUUGGGAGUGAGGCCAUCUUGGGACUCCCAGCUCAGCGAACCCUCUUGGUAAACGCAACCCUAUCAGUGAGCCCAUACCAAGCCAGCCAAUUCACAGAGAUGUGAGAAAUAAUAAAUUGUUACUGUUUUAAACCUCUAAA